GCUCAGCGCGGUAAAAGUGCUCCAGCUAUGCGCGUCUGUAUGUCUUUUUAGCUGAGGCGCUCGGUAAAUUUCACCGAAUAUGAGUUAAUAUAACUGUGUAAAAAAGCAAAUUUUGACGCCAUGUUGAAAAAUGCUUACUGGAAAGCGUCAUUACAAGCGUGAUCAUGGAAGACUCCACAUCUAGCAGUGCCUGGCGCUCUCUAAAAUUGCAAGUUUUCUGCAAAUUAUGGAAUAAAACUGGAACCAGCAGUGCCAAAACCAAAUUAGAUAUAUUAUGUCUUGGUCUAUGCCGUGGUGGAAAAGGAAUUCCAUCAAUCAUGAAGUAAAUCUGCGCACCCUGGGUCAAAAUCACUGACCAAUGAGAUGCAACGUCUGCACGCCUGCCCUGUGAAAAUUUUGCUGUUGGAAGUAGGAAGAUUCCGCACAACGAAUUCAGCUUGGCUCCCCACAGAAGAUUUUUCUGUUUUGAACAUUUUAAGUGCUUGUUUGCUGCAGUUUGUAUUAAGUUCAUCAGCUAUGUUUGCCGUGCCAAUUGGAUACUUGAUCUUCGGCCAUAAGUGCUUCAUUAUACGUUCCAAAUUACUGAUUUUGUAAGUACAAUUUUCACCAUACUGUCCUCAUAAAUUUGU